UUCGACCUCAAAUCAGGUAGGACUACCCGCUGAACUUAAGCAUAUCAUUAAGCGGAGGAAGA
rnacentral:rRNA from 1 species